UACAUGGGGUGCAAACGUUGCUCGGAAUUAUUGGGCGUAAAGCGCACGUAGGCGGUUCGUUAUGUCGGAUGUGAAAGCCCUUGGCUUAACCGAGGAAGUGCAUCCGAAACUGGCGAGCUAGAGUAGGGCAGAGGGUGGUGGAAUUUCCCGUGUAGCGGUGAAAUGCGUAGAUAUAGGAAGGAACACCAGUGGCGAAGGCGACCACCUGGGCUCAUACUGACACUGAGGUGCGAAAGCGUGGGGAGCAAACAGG
rnacentral:rRNA from 1 species